UUCAUAUAUAUGUACCAAUGUCAACUUUGUAGUAACUUUGUAGUGCUGCAGUGCGUUGUCCUUGUCAUGGUUCGAUUGUUCUAACCUUGCAUUUGCACGGCGUAGGCGUUCCAUUUCUCGAGCCAUGCUUUGCAAAGUUAGUGGAUUUGAAGGUUGUACACUCCUUUCCUUUGCAGCUGCCCUGACAUCUGCCUUCCUAACAGCACCAUUUGCAAUGGCAAGAUGCCCAUGGGUUCUGGGGCCACUAGACACAUCAUACAACACCGGCCCAUUCAAUUCUUAAUCCUACUCUUGCCCCUUCCCUGUUCCUGCUCUUCCUCUUCUCCCCUUUCCAUGCCCUCAUUCUCCUCACCCUCUUCUUCUGGACGUGCAACCCUCCUAGUACCCGC
rnacentral:lncRNA from 1 species